rnacentral:lncRNA from 13 species
AUGAUAUUUCUCCCCUCCAGGAUCCAGUUGACCUUGACUGGAAGCUCAGGGGCUGACAUUUGGGUAGAAGCACCAGAAGCUGCUCAACAUCCAGAUUCCAGAAAUGUCUAUAGUCAUGACCCUCUGCAGCAUCCCGGGGGCUGUCAUCAACUUCAUGCAGGUGUUGAUUCUUCUACUUUUCUGUCUAUUUGCAUGGAUUUUGUGUUGUUUCCUAUGCAGACAUGUUCUGUGGUGGCACAGGACGAAAUCUUGAGCCAUUGUCAGAGGAAGAAAUCGGGAAGACCUCUGCAGACAUUGAUUCCACAGAAAAAAGGGAGGAUAACAAGUGGUUUCUACAGAAAACUCCCGAAAAACUCACGACUCUUCCUGGGAAGCUGUUUGUCUUUUAAUACUAUAUGCCUGGGCAGUUGGAGGAGUCCUCAACCAUGUGGAUGACUGAUGAUUUCCUGCAAACUACUAAAGACAAAAGCUAUUGAAUGUUGCACAAGCAUCCAAACUCUGAUCCACAAGUUGUUUGAAGGCGCACCUUGCGGUAUGUGAAUAGAAUAAUUAAUAUAGCCCAAUAAUAAUUUAAAUCCAUUACAUUUUCUAUAUUGGAGAAGUUAUCCCUCUUCCAUCAAACUUGCUUUUGUCUCUGAAUAUUCCAGGUGUGUCUUUACCGGCGUGGAAUCGUAUGAUCUUCAAGUACAUUGUGGAUCCCAUCGUUCCCCGGGAUGAGUUGGUUCCUGGCACAGAGAGUCUCAUACACAAUGGUCUGCUCACACCUUUACCCCGAUGGAGUGCAGCAAGCAUCCAUACACUUUUCACAUCGUACCAUUCAAGAGUAUUGCGUUCAAGUUCAACGUUAUUUACCGUAUGUAAUACAUACUGUACACUGGAAAUCAUACUCAUCAGAGCUCUCACAUUAAAAACAACAGCAUUAAAAGUUGUGAUUUUUUUCCCUUCUCCAGUAGAUUAUUAAAAAGCUAGCCUGCUACCACCCGGUUACUCAACCCUGCACCUUAGAGGCUGCAGGGUUCACUGGUCACUUUAAUAAUGGAACACUAGUCACUUUAAUAAUGUUUACAUACUGCUUUACUCAUUUCAUAUGUAAAUACUAUAUUCUAUUCUACUGUAUUUUAGUCAAUGCCACUCCGACAUUGCUCGUCCUAAUAUUUAUAUUUCAUUCCAUUAUUUUACUUUUAGAUAUGUGUGUAUUGUUGUGAAUUGUUAGAUACUACUGCACUGUUGGAGCUAGGAACACAAGCAUUUCGCUACACCCGCAAUAACAUCUGCUAAAUAUCUGUAUGUGACCAAUAAAAUUGGAUUUGAGUUUCAACAAGCACUUUGUUACUCCCACUGCCAGCCAUGCUGCCCCUGUCCCCCUUUGAGUUCUCCCUCAGAG